CUACGGGUGGCAGCAGUUAGGAAUAAUCUACAAUGCGCGCAAGCGUGAUAGUUUGAGCCAGAGUGCUUUUCUAUUUGAAAAGCUUUUGCUGAAUGUAAAAAGUUCGGCGAAUAAGGACUGGGUAAGACGAGUGCCAGCCGCCGCGGUAAUACUCGCGGUCCAAGUCGCAGCCAUUUUUAUUGGGUCUAAAACAUCCGUAGCUUGCUUGAUAAGUUUCCUGUGAAAUCCAGCUUCUUAAGAGUUGGGCGGGCAGGAAGUACUGUCAAGCUAGUGACUGGGAGACGUAAGAAGUACGUUUGAAGUAGCGGUAAAAUGUGUUAAUCUCAAACGGACUAACAAUAGCGAAGGCAUCUUACGAGAACAGUUCUGACAGUAAGGGAUGAAGGCCAGGGGCGCAAAACGGAUUAGAUACCCCAGUAGUC
rnacentral:rRNA from 1 species